GGGUUGUGAGGUUAAGCGACUAAGCGUACACGGUGGAUGCCCUGGCAGUCAGAGGCGAUGAAGGGCGUGCUAAUCUGCGAUAAGCGCCGGUAAGGUGAUAUGAACCGUUAUAACCGGCGAUACCCGAAUGGGGAAACCCAGUGUGAUUCGUCACACUAUCAUUAACUGAAUCCAUAGGUUAAUGAGGCGAACCGGGGGAACUGAAACAUCUAAGUACCCCGAGGAAAAGAAAUCAACCGAGAUUCCCCCAGUAGCGGCGAGCGAACGGGGAGGAGCCCAGAGCCUGAAUCAGCAUGUGUGUUAGUGGAAGCGUCUGGAAAGGCGCGCGAUACAGGGUGACAGCCCCGUACACAAAAGCGCAUGUGCUGUGAGCUCGAUGAGUAGGGCGGGACACGUGGUAUCCUGUCUGAAUAUGGGGGGACCAUCCUCCAAGGCUAAAUACUCCUGACUGACCGAUAGUGAACCAGUACCGUGAGGGAAAGGCGAAAAGAACCCCGGCGAGGGGAGUGAAAAAGAACCUGAAACCGUGUACGUACAAGCAGUGGGAGCCCCACCACCAAAGCAUUUGCUGUACCGCGUUGACGGAGCGAAGCGACGUCAAACCGAUAAAACAGCAGUGUAAAGUGAGCCGCAGGGCGCUUUGCGCGACAGCGCAAAGGCAGGCGGUUUCGCGUAGCGAAAGCGAAUGCUUUGGGGUGGGGUGACUGCGUACCUUUUGUAUAAUGGGUCAGCGACUUAUAUUCUGUAGCAAGGUUAACCGAAUAGGGGAGCCGGAGGGAAACCGAGUCUUAAUUGGGCGUUAAGUUGCAGGGUAUAGACCCGAAACCCGGUGAUCUAGCCAUGGGCAGGUUGAAGGUUGGGUAACACUAACUGGAGGACCGAACCGACUAAUGUUGAAAAAUUAGCGGAUGACCUGUGGCUGGGGGUGAAAGGCCAAUCAAACCGGGAGAUAGCUGGUUCUCCCCGAAAGCUAUUUAGGUAGCGCCUCGUGAAUUCAUCUCCGGGGGUAGAGCACUGUUUCGGCUAGGGGGCCAUCCCGGCUUACCAACCCGAUGCAAACUGCGAAUACCGGAGAAUGUUAUCACGGGAGACACACGGCGGGUGCUAACGUCCGUCGUGAAGAGGGAAACAACCCAGACCGCCAGCUAAGGUCCCAAAGUCAUGGUUAAGUGGGAAACGAUGUGGGAAGGCCCAGACAGCCAGGAUGUUGGCUUAGAAGCAGCCAUCAUUUAAAGAAAGCGUAAUAGCUCACUGGUCGAGUCGGCCUGCGCGGAAGAUGUAACGGGGCUAAACCAUGCACCGAAGCUGCGGCAGCGACACUGUGUGUUGUUGGGUAGGGGAGCGUUCUGUAAGCCUGUGAAGGUGUGUCGUGAGGCAUGCUGGAGGUAUCAGAAGUGCGAAUGCUGACAUAAGUAACGAUAAAGCGGGUGAAAAGCCCGCUCGCCGGAAGACCAAGGGUUCCUGUCCAACGUUAAUCGGGGCAGGGUGAGUCGACCCCUAAGGCGAGGCCGAAAGGCGUAGUCGAUGGGAAACGGGUUAAUAUUCCCGUACUUGGUGUUACUGCGAAGGGGGGACGGAGAAGGCUAUGUUGGCCGGGCGACGGUUGUCCCGGUUUAAGCGUGUAGGUGUGUGUUCCAGGUAAAUCCGGUUCACUUUAACACUGAGGCGUGACGACGAGGCACUACGGUGCUGAAGCAACAAAUGCCCUGCUUCCAGGAAAAGCCUCUAAGCAUCAGGUAACAUCAAAUCGUACCCCAAACCGACACAGGUGGUCAGGUAGAGAAUACCAAGGCGCUUGAGAGAACUCGGGUGAAGGAACUAGGCAAAAUGGUGCCGUAACUUCGGGAGAAGGCACGCUGACACGUAGGUGAAGUGAUUUACUCAUGGAGCUGAAGUCAGUCGAAGAUACCAGCUGGCUGCAACUGUUUAUUAAAAACACAGCACUGUGCAAACACGAAAGUGGACGUAUACGGUGUGACGCCUGCCCGGUGCCGGAAGGUUAAUUGAUGGGGUCAGCGCAAGCGAAGCUCCUGAUCGAAGCCCCGGUAAACGGCGGCCGUAACUAUAACGGUCCUAAGGUAGCGAAAUUCCUUGUCGGGUAAGUUCCGACCUGCACGAAUGGCGUAAUGAUGGCCAGGCUGUCUCCACCCGAGACUCAGUGAAAUUGAACUCGCUGUGAAGAUGCAGUGUACCCGCGGCAAGACGGAAAGACCCCGUGAACCUUUACUAUAGCUUGACACUGAACAUUGAGCCUUGAUGUGUAGGAUAGGUGGGAGGCUUUGAAGUGUGGACGCCAGUCUGCAUGGAGCCGACCUUGAAAUACCACCCUUUAAUGUUUGAUGUUCUAACGUGGACCCGUUACCCGGGUUGCGGACAGUGUCUGGUGGGUAGUUUGACUGGGGCGGUCUCCUCCUAAAGAGUAACGGAGGAGCACGAAGGUUGGCUAAUCCUGGUCGGACAUCAGGAGGUUAGUGCAAUGGCAUAAGCCAGCUUGACUGCGAGCGUGACGGCGCGAGCAGGUGCGAAAGCAGGUCAUAGUGAUCCGGUGGUUCUGAAUGGAAGGGCCAUCGCUCAACGGAUAAAAGGUACUCCGGGGAUAACAGGCUGAUACCGCCCAAGAGUUCAUAUCGACGGCGGUGUUUGGCACCUCGAUGUCGGCUCAUCACAUCCUGGGGCUGAAGUAGGUCCCAAGGGUAUGGCUGUUCGCCAUUUAAAGUGGUACGCGAGCUGGGUUUAGAACGUCGUGAGACAGUUCGGUCCCUAUCUGCCGUGGGCGCUGGAGAACUGAGGGGGGCUGCUCCUAGUACGAGAGGACCGGAGUGGACGCAUCACUGGUGUUCGGGUUGUCAUGCCAAUGGCACUGCCCGGUAGCUAAAUGCGGAAGAGAUAAGUGCUGAAAGCAUCUAAGCACGAAACUUGCCCCGAG
rnacentral:rRNA from 1 species